rnacentral:rRNA from 1 species
CAGUAGCCGCGGGAAUACGAAGGGGGCUAGCGUUGCUCGGAAUGACUGGGCGUAAAGGGCGCGUAGGCGGUUUCUUAAGUCUGAUGUGAAAGCCCCCGGCUCAACCGGGGAGGGUCAUUGGAAACUGGGAAACUUGAGUGCAGAAGAGGAGAGUGGAAUUCCACGUGUAGCGGUGAAAUGCGUAGAGAUGUGGAGGAACACAGUGGCGAAGGCGGCUCACUGGACCGACACUGACGCUGAGGCGCGAAAGCGUGGGGAGCAAACAGGAUUAGAUACCCGCGUAGUCCCUGUCUCUUAUACA